AACGGCGUCGAGCGGCGGACGGGUGAGUAAUGCCUAGGAAAUUGCCCUGAUGUGGGGGAUAACCAUUGGAAACGAUGGCUAAUACCGCAUGAUGCCUACGGGCCAAAGAGGGGGACCUUCGGGCCUCUCGCGUCAGGAUAUGCCUAGGUGGGAUUAGCUAGUUGGUGAGGUAAGGGCUCACCAAGGCGACGAUCCCUAGCUGGUCUGAGAGGAUGAUCAGCCACACUGGAACUGAGACACGGUCCAGACUCCUACGGGAGGCAGCAGUGGGGAAUAUUGCACAAUGGGCGCAAGCCUGAUGCAGCCAUGCCGCGUGUGUGAAGAAGGCCUUCGGGUUGUAAAGCACUUUCAGUCGUGAGGAAGGUGGUGUAGUUAAUAGCUGCAUUAUUUGACGUUAGCGACAGAAGAAGCACCGGCUAACUCCGUGCCAGCAGCCGCGGUAAUACGGAGGGUGCGAGCGUUAAUCGGAAUUACUGGGCGUAAAGCGCAUGCAGGUGGUUUGUUAAGUCAGAUGUGAAAGCCCGGGGCUCAACCUCGGAAUAGCAUUUGAAACUGGCAGACUAGAGUACUGUAGAGGGGGGUAGAAUUUCAGGUGUAGCGGUGAAAUGCGUAGAGAUCUGAAGGAAUACCGGUGGCGAAGGCGGCCCCCUGGACAGAUACUGACACUCAGAUGCGAAAGCGUGGGGAGCAAACAGGAUUAGAUACCCUGGUAGUCCACGCCGUAAACGAUGUCUACUUGGAGGUUGUGGCCUUGAGCCGUGGCUUUCGGAGCUAACGCGUUAAGUAGACCGCCUGGGGAGUACGGUCGCAAGAUUAAAACUCAAAUGAAUUGACGGGGGCCCGCACAAGCGGUGGAGCAUGUGGUUUAAUUCGAUGCAACGCGAAGAACCUUACCUACUCUUGACAUCCAGAGAACUUUCCAGAGAUGGAUUGGUGCCUUCGGGAACUCUGAGACAGGUGCUGCAUGGCUGUCGUCAGCUCGUGUUGUGAAAUGUUGGGUUAAGUCCCGCAACGAGCGCAACCCUUAUCCUUGUUUGCCAGCGAGUAAUGUCGGGAACUCCAGGGAGACUGCCGGUGAUAAACCGGAGGAAGGUGGGGACGACGUCAAGUCAUCAUGGCCCUUACGAGUAGGGCUACACACGUGCUACAAUGGCGCAUACAGAGGGCGGCCAACUUGCGAAAGUGAGCGAAUCCCAAAAAGUGCGUCGUAGUCCGGAUUGGAGUCUGCAACUCGACUCCAUGAAGUCGGAAUCGCUAGUAAUCGUGGAUCAGAAUGCCACGGUGAAUACGUUCCCGGGCCUUGUACAC
rnacentral:rRNA from 1 species